rnacentral:rRNA from 1 species
UAGGGAAUCUUCGGCAAUGGACGAAAGUCUGACCGAGCAACGCCGCGUGAGUGAAGAAGGUUUUCGGAUCGUAAAACUCUGUUGUUAGAGAAGAACAAGGACGUUAGUAACUGAACGUCCCCUGACGGUAUCUAACCAGAAAGCCACGGCUAACUACGUGCCAGCAGCCGCGGUAAUACGUAGGUGGCAAGCGUUGUCCGGAUUUAUUGGGCGUAAAGCGAGCGCAGGCGGUUUCUUAAGUCUGAUGUGAAAGCCCCCGGCUCAACCGGGGAGGGUCAUUGGAAACUGGGAGAGUUGAGUGCAGAGGAGGAGAGUGGAAUUCCAUGUGUAGCGGUGAAAUGCGUAGAUAUAUGGAGGAACACCAGUGGCGAAGGCGGCUCUCUGGUCUGUAACUGACGCUGAGGCUCGAAAGCGUGGGGAGCAAACAGG